rnacentral:misc_RNA from 1 species
GAAUUUUCCUCAACUGUGACUGAGAUGAGCUCAGAAAAAGAUGUGAACAUUCAAGGUCCAGAUAAUCUAACUGCUGUGAAGUCUAUAAGAAAAUGCAUAAUCUUAAGCCCUGCAAAAGCCCAUAGGAGUUCUAUGGAGCAGGAGAAUCAUGUAGCAAUAAACUGAAAGGUUUGAAGAUUCUGGUGACACCUGACGUGACCUGGAACCGGCACAGAACUUACAGAAGGAUUCUUAAUUGACCUAACAAUUCCAAAAUCAUGGAUUCGUCUUUCAUUAUCUUAUCAAUAAUUUAUUUCUCAAGUAAAUGUUUCGAAGGCCCAAAAUAUACCCACACAAGCUAGGCAAGACAACGGUUAUUUUUGUGGCUUGAAAUUUA